AUUGAACGCUGGCGGCAGGCUUAACACAUGCAAGUCGAGCGGAGAUGAGGUGCUUGCACCUUAUCUUAGCGGCGGACGGGUGAAUAAUGCUUAGGAAUCUGCCUAUUAGUGGGGGACAACAUUCCGAAAGGAAUGCUAAUACCGCAUACGUCCUACGGGAGAAAGCAGGGGAUCUUCGGACCUUGCGCUAAUAGAUGAGCCUAAGUCGGAUUAGCUAGUUGGUGGGGUAAAGGCCUACCAAGGCGACGAUCUGUAGCGGGUCUGAGAGGAUGAUCCGCCACACGGGGACUGAGACACGGCCCAGACUCCUACGGGAGGCAGCAGUGGGGAAUAUUGGACAAUGGGGGGAACCCUGAUCCAGCCAUGCCGCGUGUGUGAAGAAGGCCUUAUGGUUGUAAAGCACUUUAAGCGAGGAGGAGGCUACUGAGACUAAUACUCUUGGAUAGUGGACGCUACUCGCAGAAUAAGCACCGGCUAACUCUGUGCCAGCCGCCGCAGUAAUAC
rnacentral:rRNA from 1 species